GACGAGGUCGUAGCUCCGACGACCACGCCACAGGCGGCGCAAAGAGCUGACGGCCCAGAUCCUGGCAUCGGGAGCCACGCCGCUGCGCCCGCCGAUGGCGACGGCGAGGAGGAGGAGGAGGCCCCGUCGCCGCGUCCGUCCUCCGCCGGCUGCUACACCUUCCUCCGCUCCGCGUCUCGCCGCGGCGGGCACUGGCGCCUCGACUCCUCCGCCUCCGCGUCCGCGGCGGCGCAUGUGGGUGGAGGUGGGGACGACGAAGGGAGAGAGGAACUUGUUCCCCCGUCGACCUGGCCGUGCUCGAGGCCGGGCCGGUGCGGCGCCUCCUCGCGGCGGCCGGGCGGCGGACCCGCGGUGGCGGUCGCCGUGGACGCGUUGCUGUUCGAGCACCUGUGGUGGCUGCAGCCGACGCCGACUUCGUCCCUCCCCUCACCAUCGUGGGUCAUCGAUUCCCCUAACAGCCGACCCCUCGCGCCGCCCGACUCCGUCGACGUCAUCCCUCCCCUUGCCAUCGUCGGCCGACGCGCCGCCACCGCGCCGCCGCCGCCCUCCCACGCAGCAGAUCCAUGCCGCAAGACGUCCAUCGGCCACAACCGUCGCUGCCCUCCCCUGCAGCAGAUCCACGCCACCGGCCGCCGCCCUCGAUCACAACGUGAUUUGGAGGUGGAGAAGCUUGGCUGCGGCUUCUUCGCCAACACCAGGGUCAACCUUGCCAACGAUAUGGUUGGGUUGGACUCUAUGAGGGUUUCGAGGGCGUGUGCAUUUGUUGACCAUGGCUGCGGGUGGUCCUCACACCAACAGCGGCCGCGAUUCCAGAAUGUGGCAGUGGCAGUGCGGCUUGCCUUGAUUUGGUUUGUUGUGCUCCACGAUUAUCAGUUCAGAAUCUGGGAUGUCGGUAGCGGUCGUUGUAGUGGCUGCGGCGACGAUUGCUUCUUCCUUGGAUGGGAGCCACCGUUCGCCGACCUUGCUGCCGCCGACGCCCGCAUAUCCUUCCAUGUCUGUGUGCCAGAGGAUUUGUGGGAUGCAAGCAGCAGCAGAAACAGCGACCGAGCACGUCCGAUUCCAGCUACGUUCAGCGUCAUGUAUGGGAAGGUGGGGAUCAGUGCCGACACACACCCCCAGUUCUACCUCCGAUUAUUUCUUCAGCGAUAGUCUUAAUUAAUAGCUCUUGUGGGCAGUCAUUGACAGGCAUGGUGUGUACUUAACUGCUUAUUGAAAUGGUCAGGUUUACUUUCCAUUCGUACCGGUUCAUGCAUUGUUCUGCUCCAAAUAUUUUCCUUUAUUCGAG
rnacentral:lncRNA from 1 species